rnacentral:rRNA from 1 species
GACGAACGCUGGCGGCGUGCCUAAUACAUGCAAGUCGAACGAACUCUGGUAAUGAUUGGUGCUUGCAUCAUGAAUUACAUUUGAGUGAGUGGCGAACUGGCGAGUAACACGUGGGAAACCUGCCCAGAAGCGGGGGAUAACACCUGGAAACAGAUGCUAAUACCGCAUAACAACUUGGACCGCAUGGUCCGAGGUUGAAAGAUGGCUUAGGCUAUCACUUUUGGAUGGUCCCGCGGCGUAUUAGCGAGAUGGUGAGGUAACGGCUCACCAUGGCAAUGAUACGUAGCCGACCUGAGAGGGUAAUCGGCCACAUUGGGACUGAGACACGGCCCAAACUCCUACGGGAGGCAGCAGUAGGGAAUCUUCCACAAUGGACGAAAGUCUGAUGGAGCAACGCCGCGUGAGUGAAGAAGGGUUUCGGCUCGUAAAACUCUGUUGUUAAAGAAGAACAUAUCUGAGAGUAACUGUUCAGGUAUUGACGGUAUUUAACCAGAAAGCCACGGCUAACUACGUGCCAGCCGCCGCCGUAA